UACAGAGGGUGCGAGCGUUAAUCGGAAUUACUGGGCGUAAAGGGCGCGUAGGCGGUCAUAUAAGUGAGAUGUGAAAUACCUGGGCUCAACCUAGGAACGGCAUUUUAGACUGUAUGACUGGAGUACUGUAGAGGAUAGUGGAAUUUCCGGUGUAGCGGUGAAAUGCGUAGAGAUCGGAAGGAACAUCAGUGGCGAAGGCGACUGUCUGGACAGAUACUGACGCUGAGGCGCGAAAGCGUGGGGAGCAAACAGG
rnacentral:rRNA from 1 species